rnacentral:rRNA from 1 species
AGAAUCAACGCUGGCGGCGUGCCUAACACAUGCAAGUCGAACGAGAAAGUGGAGCAAUCCAUGAGUAAAGUGGCGACCGGGUGAGUAACACGUGACUAACCUACCUUCGAGUGGGGGAUAACAUCGGGAAACCGAUGCUAAUACCGCAUAACAUCGCAAGAUCAAAGCAGUAAUGCGCUUGAAGAGGGGGUCGCGGCUGAUUAGCUAGUUGGCGGGGUAACGGCCCACCAAGGCGAAGAUCGGUAGCCGGCCUGAGAGGGCGCACGGCCACACUGGAACUGAAACACGGUCCAGACUCCUACGGGAGGCAGCAGUGGGGAAUUUUGCGCAAUGGGGGAAACCCUGACGCAGCAACGCCGCGUGGAGGAUGAAGCCCCUUGGGGCGUAAACUCCUUUCGACCAAGACGAUAAUGACGGUACUGGUGGAAGAAGCACCGGCUAACUCUGCGCCAGCAGCCGC